rnacentral:rRNA from 1 species
UACGGAGGGUGCGAGCGUUGUCCGGAAUCAUUGGGCGUAAAGGGCGCGUAGGUGGCCCGGUCAGUCCGUGGUGAAAGCGCGGGGCUCAACCCCGCGUCGGCCAUGGAUACUGCUGGGCUGGAGCACUGUAGAGGCAGGCGGAAUUCCGGGUGUAGCGGUGGAAUGCGUAGAGAUCCGGAAGAACACCGGUGGCGAAGGCGGCCUGCUGGGCAGUUGCUGACACUGAGGCGCGACAGCGUGGGGGAGCAAACAGG